AGGAAAUCUCCGUGAAAAAACCUCUGCUCAGUUCCAGCGAUGCCCCCUGUGACUCAGACCAUCAACCUCGCAGGGGAGAGGGCACGGCGGAAUGUUUACCUGCGUACUCACCUGGUCCUGCAGCUCCUCCAGAUGGUGGGCUCUCUCCUCCUCGCUGUCCGAGCUGGGGCUGCUCUCUGUCUCGCUCUCGCUGCUGGGCUCGCUCUGUGAGGAAGAGGAGGAGGACGAGGAGGAGGAAGAGUGCACUGCUGACAUGCCCAUCCCACCACCUAGGGACAUGGGGGGAGUCUCCGCCACCAGCUCAUCUGGCACCUUGGCAAAGUGAAAUUCAAACACAUCCUGAGGAGGCGAUGAGGAGAGAGGCAGUGUCAGUACUGCCUACAUUUCCCAGAAUUCUCAGGAAUCUUCACAAUCGGA